rnacentral:tRNA from 1 species
AGCAGGGUGGCGCAGUGGAAGCGUGCUGGGCCCAUAACCCAGAGUUCAAUGGAUCGAAACUAUUUCCUGCUA